CAGCACAUGGAGAGAAGAAGACGGGCUGUCAUCUCCAGCGAAGCGUCCUCCGAAGCGCAUCAGCAAAGCCACGUUUUCACUAAACUGUGAGGAGAAGCGCUGACAUCAUCUGUUGGUGGUGUCAUAAAUCCUGACCUGUGCUGCCUACCUAAGCCCUACCUAUUGAAACAAUGCAUUGAACCCUUUCGUCCUGGUUGCCCUGGUUACGGCCACUUAUCAAGGAGAGGUCUUAAAGAUCAAACAGGCGUGGUAUCCAGUUGCCGCGAUCCUCCUGUUGCUAUGGACCUUUGUUCGGCACCGAGCACAGAUGCACGCCAGUGCCGCGGAGCAUGGCGAGUGUACACAAAAACACAACAGAGGGACAAAAAGCAUUUCGCCUCAGCGCUGCGGUGCCAUAAACUGCCCAGCGACCUAUCUGUGGAAUGGGGGUGGGGGUGGAAAGGAAGGGGGUUGCAGAGUAAAGUCAGACUGAAAUUCGACAUCAGAGGUGGGCCCAGCGAGGGGCCCUGACUGACGGCGAAAGCUCGAGUUCACAUAGACGUAUCUACUGCUCUCCCACUGAUCGCUAGCGCUCCUCGCCGUCCACCCCAGGAAACACCCCGCUAGCAGGAGUCGCCGCACUUCCCCCACACAAUAGCACACGGUCACGUGGCGCAUACUGUCAUGUUGCCGUUUUUAACACUCGUUCUAAACCGUCACUCAAUUCGUGACAGCGGUCUUCACCACCCUCUCCAUCCCUUCAGGUUUUAGCACUAGAAUCUCUUUUUCGCCAUCCAAGUGUUUUGAUAGCGACAGGUGGCGUGACGCGUCCAGGAAACGGUGCUUAAAUCUAGUUGAAUGCAGCCGAAAUGUGUUAAAUAAAAUUUCUACCUAUUGAUUAACAAGAGACGUGCCUGUUCGGAAACGCACAGCGUAUUAAAUUGACGCCGAUGACUAUAAGAGACAAUCAGAUUCGAUUUGAGCACAACGGCCAUGAGGUCAACU